rnacentral:rRNA from 1 species
CGCACAUAAGACAUGCAAGUCGAACGAAAGUACGUUAGAAAAUGAAUUGACGAUUUAUCUGAUUGAAGUUUUAACAAUGGCUUAGUGGCGGACUGGUGAGUAACACGUAAGGAACCUGCCUAUCAGAGGGGGAAUAACAGUGAGAAAUCAUUGCUAAUACCGCAUAAGCUAGUAGUAUCGCAUGAUACAGCUAGAAAAGGAGUAAUCCGCUGAUAGAUGGCCUUGCGCCUGAUUAGCUAGUUGGUGGGGUAAAGGCCUACCAAGGCGACGAUCAGUAGCCGAACUGAGAGGUUGAACGGCCACAUUGGGACUGAGAUACGGCCCAGACUCCUACGGGAGGCAGCAGUCGGGAAUAUUGCGCAAUGGAGGAAACUCUGACGCAGUGACGCCGCGUAUAGGAAGAAGGUUUUCGGAUUGUAAACUAUUGUCGUGAGGGAAGAAGAUGACAGUACCUCAGGAGGAAGCUCCGGCUAACUAUGUGCCAGCCGCCGC